ACUUAAAUUGAAGAGUUUGAUCAUGGCUCAGAUUGAACGCUGGCGGCAGGCCUAACACAUGCAAGUCGAGCGGUAGCACAGAGAGCUUGCUCUCGGGUGACGAGCGGCGGACGGGUGAGUAAUGUCUGGGAAACUGCCUGAUGGAGGGGGAUAACUACUGGAAACGGUAGCUAAUACCGCAUAACGUCGCAAGACCAAAGUGGGGGACCUUCGGGCCUCAUGCCAUCAGAUGUGCCCAGAUGGGAUUAGCUAGUAGGUGGGGUAAUGGCUCACCUAGGCGACGAUCCCUAGCUGGUCUGAGAGGAUGACCAGCCACACUGGAACUGAGACACGGUCCAGACUCCUACGGGAGGCAGCAGUGGGGAAUAUUGCACAAUGGGCGCAAGCCUGAUGCAGCCAUGCCGCGUGUGUGAAGAAGGCCUUCGGGUUGUAAAGCACUUUCAGCGGGGAGGAAGGCGAUAAGGUUAAUAACCUUGUCGAUUGACGUUACCCGCAGAAGAAGCACCGGCUAACUCCGUGCCAGCAGCCGCGGUAAUACGGAGGGUGCAAGCGUUAAUCGGAAUUACUGGGCGUAAAGCGCACGCAGGCGGUCUGUCAAGUCGGAUGUGAAAUCCCCGGGCUCAACCUGGGAACUGCAUUCGAAACUGGCAGGCUAGAGUCUUGUAGAGGGGGGUAGAAUUCCAGGUGUAGCGGUGAAAUGCGUAGAGAUCUGGAGGAAUACCGGUGGCGAAGGCGGCCCCCUGGACAAAGACUGACGCUCAGGUGCGAAAGCGUGGGGAGCAAACAGGAUUAGAUACCCUGGUAGUCCACGCCGUAAACGAUGUCGAUUUGGAGGUUGUGCCCUUGAGGCGUGGCUUCCGGAGCUAACGCGUUAAAUCGACCGCCUGGGGAGUACGGCCGCAAGGUUAAAACUCAAAUGAAUUGACGGGGGCCCGCACAAGCGGUGGAGCAUGUGGUUUAAUUCGAUGCAACGCGAAGAACCUUACCUGGUCUUGACAUCCACAGAACUUUCCAGAGAUGGAUUGGUGCCUUCGGGAACUGUGAGACAGGUGCUGCAUGGCUGUCGUCAGCUCGUGUUGUGAAAUGUUGGGUUAAGUCCCGCAACGAGCGCAACCCUUAUCCUUUGUUGCCAGCGGUUAGGCCGGGAACUCAAAGGAGACUGCCAGUGAUAAACUGGAGGAAGGUGGGGAUGACGUCAAGUCAUCAUGGCCCUUACGACCAGGGCUACACACGUGCUACAAUGGCAUAUACAAAGAGAAGCGACCUCGCGAGAGCAAGCGGACCUCAUAAAGUAUGUCGUAGUCCGGAUUGGAGUCUGCAACUCGACUCCAUGAAGUCGGAAUCGCUAGUAAUCGUAGAUCAGAAUGCUACGGUGAAUACGUUCCCGGGCCUUGUACACACCGCCCGUCACACCAUGGGAGUGGGUUGCAAAAGAAGUAGGUAGCUUAACCUUCGGGAGGGCGCUUACCACUUUUUGAUUCAUGACUGGGGUGAAGUCGUAACAAGGUAACCGUAGGGGAACCUGCGGUUGGAUCACCUCCUUACCUUAAAGAA
rnacentral:rRNA from 1 species